UCCAGAAUCGUGUAUCAGAAUUUUCUUUUUUUUUCAUCCCUCAGUUCCACUGCUCCGUCUCACAUCACUGGAUUUUACCUCCUGUAUCUUCUGCAGAGUCAAAAUGACCAUCAGCCUGCAGCUUCCCGUGGACUAGGACCAGAGUGAGCCCUGCCGUCAGCUUUUCUUCAACACUUCGCUUUGCCUUCACCGUCCGAUGGCCACCAGUCCCAGCGCCCCCCAGCCAUCCAGCAGCAUGGAGGAGACACAGCAGCCCGAGCAGCCAAUCAGCACGCAGCCGGAAGCCACAGAAGCCGACCACGCCACCGUGACUUCUCAACCGGCCAGCGCUGAGCAGGAAGCCCCCUCCUCGACGACAGACGCUCCCGAGGCCAAACAAUCACCUGAGCACCUGACGGUGAUCAGCGAAAACAUGGAGACCAGUAACGGUAUCGGUCCGGUGAUGGUCGACUCCUCUCCCACAGCGCCCUCUGUGUCGCCCAAGCUGUACGCUAAGCCAGGCGGCCAUGCUAAUGGUCGGCCUCGUUUGGGCAGUCGGUCCGGCUCGUUAGCGGCGGGCUCGCCCAGGCCCUCGCUCACCCGCCAGCCCAGCGCAAUCACAGAGGCCGCUGUGGACGGAUCCAAGCCCAGGGACUACCUGAUCCUGGCCAUCCUGUCCUGCUUCUGCCCGCUGUGGCCCAUCAACAUCGUAGCUCUCACCUUCUCCGUCAUGUCCCGAAACAGUCUGCAGCAAGGCAACAUAGACGGAGCUCGUCGCUUGGGUCGCAACGCCAUGGUUCUGUCUGUCGUGGCCAUCUUGGGAGGGAUCGCCAUCAUCACUGCAGCUAUCAUCCUCAACUGGGGAUAACCAACAGUUAAACCUUGCAGAUGAAGAUGGGUGAAUUGUGUUGCCUGUACUUUCUGACGGGAGUUUUGUGUGGAGGACACAGCAAAUCAAAGCAGUGAUAUUAAAAUCCUGAUGAAAUCCCCUGGACCGCCACGACGCCGCUCCCCCUCCCGUUCCUGAAGCACUAUCGUUCUCAAGCGCCUGCACCGGAUGAAAACCCAAUAAAAAUCUGUUUCUGUUCUUUGCUGUUGUUUCUUGCUGCACGACGACAAGCAUGGUCUGCCUGACGCUCUACCUCCAACUCGACCAACCCACUCGCCCGCCAACCCACCCGCUCGCCAACCCACCCACUCGCCAACCCACCCACUCUUGACACCGACGCCCCAUCUGGAUAUGCAGGAGGAGACGGGAUGCAUCGUUCCAUCUCCUCCUCAGACUGUUUUCUCUCUCUCUCUCUACACGCUCUCUCAUCUAUGAACAAGUGUGUCUGUUGUCAUGGAAACGGACAUCUGUCUCUAUGGAAGUUGGAUUACUCUGAUCUCUGAAUGAGUCUCCGUGCCACAGGUCCAGUAUCGGAGCAGACUGGGGGGGGUGGAAGGGGGGGGGGGGGGGGGUGAUCACGUUUUGAUGCCAAAAAAAAAGUAGAAACUUUGUCUGAGCUCGAACGAUGCUGCAGUGAUGAUCUUUACUGUGAAGGCGGGAAAGAAAAGGAUGAGAGAGUGGAGGAUUGUUUCAGUGUCCACCUGUUCCUGCUGUGUUUACUGUGCACACAUACAAACACAGAGGUCAGACAUGCCGAUACUGCUGCUGCUGCUGCUGCUGCCGCCGCCGCCGCCGCCGCUGCUGCUGCUGCCGCCGCCGCCGCUGCUGCUGCCGCCUGCCGGUCAUGUGAUAGAGACCGAAGUCCCGACGUCACAUCUGCUCCAUGAGCUUCCGUUGAUUCUCUCACCGUCUGUCUGAGAACAUGAAGCUUGUUCCUGGAGUUUAUUUGCCAUAUUCUGAGACAACAGCACCUUCUAUCAUUGAAACCUAACAGAGUUAAAGAAGCUUCCAUGUAGAUUUACAGGUGUCAACGUGUUUUUCUACCGUGAUCUCUGCCGCCGUUACAAACACGUCUGAACUCACCAGAUUCCUGAACUCACCUGUGGACUCAUCUGUGUUGGCAGACAGUGACGUUUAGCCCACAAAGUUUCUAGGACUUACGGGAAAUAGUGUUAUAAGAGGAGGAAAUAUAAUCUAAUAACAAUAUAAUCUAAACAAUAUUAGAUCAUUUUCAUAAAGCUAGAUAUAUGAAGUGAGCCACACCUCACCAUUCAGCCUGUGGGACACGAUGUUUACUGUAUUAAAAAGCUGCUAAAAUUUAUAAAAAAUAAACAGAUUUUAGCUGAGACCCAAUUCAGGGGCCGCACGCUUCAGGGGCCGCGGUCUACGAAGGCGUGGCAGUUUGUGGCCGAACCGAAAUGACAGUCCGGUCUACGUAUUUUUCUUGUUGCGUCACCAUCUGUUCCCACCUUUAAUGUGGCGUCGCCAGGCGCAGCUGCUGUCACCUAGAAACCUUGACAACACAUAACAGGGCCCUUGCUGUUUGCUUUCGUUUCUGGCACGCAAUGAAUCUUGGGAUACGUUAGGAAAAGGAGGAUGCAUUUGAAGGAGCUUUCGAAAUACAACAGCAUAGUCACGCCACUGUGACACAAUCAGUCUUCAAAUGCAGCCUCCGAAGGACGCGGCCCCUGAAUUGGGACACAGCUAUAAAUGAGUUUAAGAUGCCGACCAUAUGAUCACGUCGCCGCGGCGUCCUCCCUCAUCUCUACCCUCAUUUCUUGGCAUCUCUCUAAUGUCAGUAUCUUUAGUAUCUUAAAAUUCAGCAAAUUAGACAAUAUUCAAAUAUCUCUAAGGAAACCUGGAUGUUUGGAUGUGUGAGCUUGUGUUGAAGGACGAGGGAGGACAGUGUGAAGCAGAGAGCUGGAAUGUGUGCGGUGUGCAGAGUUGCGGUUUGUCUGGACGUCUAAGUGCUUCUGCUUUUUAGCUUGUAACUGAUUCCAGCCGAGUCGCUCUGAUUCAAACGUAUUUAAUUAUUCUCUCUGACCACAGGAGGUGCAGCCCUUUCCCCCUAAUGGACCUGGAGUGAUGGACAGUGUGAUAGUGAGCUCGAGGCCCUCCAUUCAUUUGGGUGGUUAAGGUUACGUUUACACUGCAGGUCUGUACUCUGGGUUCAGGUUCCCACAGUGAUGCAACGUGAGACGGAUCAGUUUUACUUUUAUUGCUUGUGUUUUCUCUCAGGUCUUUUAAUUUCAACUCCCUGCUGAUUUUCAAAUCUCAGUUUCUUUAUCCUAAAGGACAGAAAUUAUUGUUUCAAUCUGGGUUGUUUUGUAAAUAUGAAACAUUUGUCUGAUGCUAAAAAUGAAUUCAGGCACCUGGUCCAUGUCGAGUCUCUUUAGAGCAUCGAACAUUGACUGGAUCUAAGCAGGUUGAGAUUUAAAGGACAAGUUCACAUUUUUUGCAGGUGUGAACAGUUUUCGAUGGCUGUGAUCACUCCGUCUCUUCCUGAUUCAUCGCCAAUGUAUGGAAGCCCGGAAAGGCCACACUCGCAAAUAUAUUUUUCAUCCCGUUAUCUUGAGAUAAAAGAGCUUUGUUUUCUCAAGAUAACGGGAUAUUUAUUCCGUUAUCUUGAGAUCUGCAAAAGUUCUUAAAGCGUAAGUCAGUACGAGUGAAUAUCGUCCCAAGUCUUUUUAGGAGUUUCCUUGCUGAGGCGUGGCAGAGGGACCGUAACAGUGACUUCUGAAACAUUAAAUGUCAAAUUUUAAAAUGUGGUUUUGCACUCUGAGCCUCUCUUCUCAUUGGCUGACUGUUUUCUGAGAGAUCCAAUAAAAAAUAUAGAAGAUUUCAGGUAAAAACACUCAGAGAAACCAAAUCCUGCAAGGUUUGGAUGGUGGGUCCAGGUGGGCGGGGCUUGGUGACUGCUUUGUUGUGACAUCACAAAGUUCCAGAAGUCCUGACGGCUGGUUUUAAGGCUCAGUUUCUGAAUACAGGCUGUGUGCAUUUCUCUGUGGACUGAGGCUUUGAUACUUUCACAGUAUUAAUAUAGAAGCUAGAGCUGAUCUAUAAUCACACUACACAUGGACACAGACCUUUACACUGGAGGAGCUUUAAGAACAAACUUGAAAAACAUGUGAACAUGUCCUUUUAAGCUGUGGUUUAACCCUCAUUCAGAUGCCCACCACUAAUAUAAAGGUGUGUGUGAUGAAGCAGACGACAUCUCAACAGUAAAUAAAGCCUGAAUCCAGGUGGAGCUCUGUAGGAUAGAUGAGGAUCUGUAAUGUCUUUUUAACGAACCUGAAAUCUGGAUUUUUGAUUGGGUGAUAUGAAACAUCAUUAUAAAAGUCAAUGAACACUUUGAUUUCUGCACAGAGCUCAUCUGGUCCUUGUCUCGUCUCUCGUCUUUCGUCUCUCGUCUCUAGAGCCUCAGUGUGACGCUGUGCCAAACACCAGAGUGUGUGCCAACCUGCACAGAAACUGUGUGUGUGUGUGUGUGUGUGUGUGUGUGUGUGUGUGUGUGUGUGUGUGUGUGUGUGUGUGUGUGUGUGCGGGCUGACAGACACUUUGAGGACAGCUUGUUUCAGAGGGAACUCUGAGGAGCUGAGCUGGUGUUAAGGAACUAAAUCAUCUUCUAUACCCCGUGCAUGUUUACACUCUUUAUUACAGAAUGCUUUUCCAUGAGACCGUAGCCUCGUUCAUCAGGAGAGCUAACCGAGUAGCACUUGUAAAUACAUAGUAUGAGAAAUUGUAAUAUGUCCGCCCGGUAAAGGUUCCCCGCCCCUUUGUUUCCUCUUCGCAUUGUAAUGGAGACGUAACUGAACUCGGACCAUUUUUUUUUAGAAAAUGUUGCUGCUGUGAAGAUGAAACUCGAAGGUUCAAAAAGUGACACGUUUGAACUCGACACCAAUCAGACGGCGUCUCUGCGUCGAGGCGAGGUCAGGCUCAGAGGUGGGAGGGAGGGAGGCGACUUGCAGGCGUUCACAUCAUCAAGACGGUUGUAUGAUCAUAAUAUUAAUAAUACAAUAUAACACCACAUCCGUUAAACCUGUCUUCAGUUUGUUUUCAUGCGUUUCCAUAGUGUUUGUUUGAUUUAUGACGACUUGAAUGUUGACACGAAGGCUGUUCACAGGAAACAAUUACAUUCACUCUGAUAUGAUACGAACGCAGCACCUCCGUCCUGCUCCCACCUUAGCUCCUCCCACUCCUGUACUGUAUGUAGCAUGCCUGUUUAUUAGUCACAUUAUGCAUAAAGGAAAAAAGAAAAAAAAAAAGCUGUGUCAGUACGAAUGCUAGCUUUCCUGAUUUCUGCUCUGAUAGACUCCAACACGGGUUCGUGUGGAGUUUGCUUGCGCUACCUCUCAGAGUUGCCUGCAGUGUGUUAUCAACUGCUCCUCACAUCGUUCCACUUCCAUGAUUUUGACUGUUAAAUCUCUUGUGAUAUUGUUUUUAUUUUGCUUUGUUGUGUUUUUAUUGCAGUUUCACUUGCUUACAUUGUAAUUAUGAUAUUAAUGUGCAGGGUUUUAUAAUCACAGUACAGUUGUUCAUCUCUAAUUCGUUCAUCUCUCACAAGUCCUGUAAAAAAAAAACCUUCUCAUAUAUAUAUAUAUAUAUAUAUAUAUAUAUAUAUAUAUAUAUGAACAGAAAAUUCCCCUAUAAUACUCAAGUUGUUUACACUGAGAAUUGAAGAGUUCUGAGGAAGAUUAAUCAGCAGACACUUAUUUUGAAAAGUGUGUAUUUAUCUGUUCCAAUUCAAAAUCGACACGUGUAACAAAAUCAUUUCAAAAUAAGAGUCAACACGCUUUUUUAAUAAUUUUUUUUAUUUAACUACAUUUCAAGUUUGUAGAUUUAAACCUUCACAUCGUCUGCUGGAUAAAACUGUCGAGCCGUGCGGAACAAAACCAACUGAGAAAUAACAAUAACAACCUGAACUGAACGUAUUAACGUCUCAGCUGUUUUAGUCCGGAGUCCAGCAGAUGCCAGACAAAAGACAAAAAACUAAUUGUGCACAUCAGUUAAUGAGCAGCUUGGCUUUAACGCAGUUUUGUUUCGAGAUAUGUGGAUAAUAUUUGGAUUUUUCAUUUCCUUUGACAUUACUUAAACAUGUUGAAAUGUUUGAUUCAAUGUUCUUUCAAUUCAAACUUUAUUUUCUACCGUUGGACUAAAACUGGGAACAAAAUGAGGAGAUACAGAUUCACCCUGAGCUGAUGAUAAAGGUCUGAUUCAGUUUAUGGAAAAUAUAUAAUACAGAUAUAAUAUAUAUAGAAAAGUUUUGAUUAUAAAGUGUAAAUGCUGAAAUCUUCCAGAAGACUUUUCAUUUCCAACACACGUUGUACAGAUGCUGUAUUUUGUGAAGCCCGGUUCAUUUGAUGUUCACUUUAAGUGGCUCCUGAAAGAAGAAAUUUCAACUUCUCUUGGGUUUUUUGUUGUUUAGUUGUUUUUUUUUGUCUGUGUCUGCUCUCGUUUAUCAUUUUUGUUUUCUUUUGUAAACGCUCUUUUGACACCUGAUUACCUGAUCUUUGUAUUUUUAUAUUUCUAUUCUCAUUUCUCUGGAUCUCUUUUGUAUUCACAUGGUAAUCUACUGUUUGUAACGCUCGGUAUUAACCUGCUUCCUGCUUGCUUUUUUUAAAUGGCAAGGCGGUGGGACGCUGUAAGCAUGAGUACACUGCCACCUGACUUUACUAUGUCCUCUUAUUAUUGAUUGCUGUCACCAGACACUGGACUCUUUUUGUGCCUGUGCAUGCCUUAAAUCGACUGAAGCGUACAGAAUGAGUAUGGGUGUACACAAUACAUUUAUCAAAGACACUGUUGAUCUUGAUCUGAUGUUGAGUAUUUGAUCAUGUUUGAAGGGAAUAAAUUCCAGUUAAAUACUA